GGAAUAUUGGACAAUGGGGGAAACCCUGAUCCAGCAAUGCCGCGUGAGUGAAGAAGGCCUUAGGGUUGUAAAGCUCUUUUACCCGGGAUGAUAAUGACAGUACCGGGAGAAUAAGCCCCGGCUGACUCCGUGCCAGCAGCCGCGGUAAUACGGAGGGGGCUAGCGUUGUUCGGAAUUACUGGGCGUAAAGCGCACGUAGGCGGCUUUGUAAGUUAGAGGUGAAAGCGCGGGGCUCAACUCCGGAAUUGCCUUUAAGACUGCAUCGCUAGAAUUGUGGAGAGGGAAGUGGAAUUCCGAGUGUAGAGGUGAAAUUCGUAGAUAUUCGGAAGAACACCAGUGGCGAAGGCGACUUACUGGACACAUAUUGACGCUGAGGUGCGAAAGCGUGGGGAGCAA
rnacentral:rRNA from 1 species